UACAGAGGUCUCAAGCGUUGUCCGGAUUUAUUGGGCGUAAAGAGCUCGUAGGCGGCUUGUCGCGUCGUUCGUGAAAACCCACAGCUCAACUGUGGGCUUGCGGUCGAUACGGGCAGGCUAGAGUUCGGUAGGGGGAGACUGGAAUUCCUGGUGUAGCGGUGAAAUGCGCAGAUAUCAGGAGGAACACCGGUGGCGAAGGCGGGUCUCUGGGCCGAUACUGACGCUGAGGAGCGAAAGCGUGGGGAGCGAACAGG
rnacentral:rRNA from 1 species